GGAAACCGGAGUUAAUACCGGAUAAUAUAUUGAACCGCAUGGUUCAAUAGUGAAAGACGGUUUUGCUGUCACUUAUAGAUGGAUCCGCGCCGCAUUAGCUAGUUGGUAAGGUAACGGCUUACCAAGGCAACGAUGCGUAGCCGACCUGAGAGGGUGAUCGGCCACACUGGAACUGAGACACGGUCCAG
rnacentral:rRNA from 1 species